UACGUAGGCAGCGAGCGUUGUUCGGAUUUACUGGGCGUAAAGGGUGUGUAGGCGGUUUUCUAAGUUUGGUGUGAAAUCUCCCGGCUUAACCGGGAGGGUGCGCCGAAAACUGGGAGACUAGAGUGCGGGAUGGGAGAGUAGAAUUCCUGGUGUAGCGGUGAAAUGCGUAGAUAUCAGGAGGAAUACCGGUGGUGCAGACGGCUCUCUGGACCGCAACUGACGCUGAGACACGAAAGCGUGGGUAGCAAACAGG
rnacentral:rRNA from 1 species